rnacentral:rRNA from 1 species
GUCAAGCUACAAAGGGCGCAUGGUGAAUGCCUUGGCACUAGGAGCCGAUGAAGGACGUGAUAAGCUGCGAUAAGCUUUGGGUAGGCGCAAAUAGCCAGUGAUCCAGAGAUUUCCGAAUGGGGAAACCUACAUAGUCAACACUAUGUACCGUAUACUGAAUAAAUAGGUAUGCGGAGGUAAACCCGGGGAACUGAAACAUCUAAGUACCCGGAGGAAGAGAAAGAAAAAUCGAUUUCCUGAGUAGCGGCGAGCGAAAGGGAAAGAGCCCAAACCUAAGUCUUUGACUUAGGGGUUGCGGACAAAACAUAAAAGAUGACAGGAAUUAGCCGAAGACAGCUGGAAAGCUGCUCCGCAGAGGGUAAUAGGCCCGUAGGCGAAAAUGGAGGUCAUCGAGUUUUGAUCCAGAGUACCACGAGACACGUGAAACCUUGUGGGAAGCAGGGAGGACCACCUCCCAAGGCUAAAUACUACCUAGUGACCGAUAGUGAAGAAGUACCGUGAGGGAAAGGUGAAAAGAACCCCGGAAGGGGAGUGAAAUAGAACCUGAAACCGUGUGCCUACAACCGGUCGAAGCACUUUAUAUGUGUGACGACGUGCUUUUUGUAGAACGAGCCAACGAGUUACGAUAUGUAGCGAGGUUAAGUACUUAAGGUACGGAGCCGAAGGGAAACCGAGUCUGAAUAGGGCGCAUAGUUGCAUGUCGUAGACCCGAAACCGGGUGACCUAUCCAUGGCCAGGAUGAAGCGACAGUAAAAUGUCGUGGAGGUCCGAACCACGUUGGUGUUGAAAAACCAUGGGAUGAGCUGUGGAUAGCGGAGAAAUUCCAAUCGAACUCGGAGAUAGCUGGUUCUCCUCGAAAUAGCUUUAGGGCUAGCGUCGGUUAAUUGAGUAAUGGAGGUAGAGCACUGAAUAGGCUAGGGGGCAUAGCGCUUACCGAACCUUAUCAAACUCCGAAUGCCAUAUACUUGUAUUCCGGCAGUCAGACUGCGAAUGAUAAGAUCCGUAGUCAAAAGGGAAACAGCCCAGACCAUCAGCUAAGGUCCCAAAGUGUAAGUUAAGUGGUAAAGGAUGUGGGAUUUCUAAGACAACUAGGAUGUUGGCUUAGAAGCAGCCACUCAUUUAAAGAGUGCGUAAUAGCUCACUAGUCAAGAGAUCCCGCGCCGAAGAUGUCCGGGGCUAAAACUUACCACCGAAGCUAUGGAUGUGUACUAUGUACACGUGGUAGAGGAGCUUUCUGCAUUGGCUGAAGUCGUACCGUAAGGAGCGGUGGACGAUGCAGAAGUGAGAAUGUUGGCAUAAGUAGCGAGAGCAAGGUGAGAAUCCUUGCGGUCGAAAACCUAAGGUUUCCUGAGGAAGGCUCGUCCUCUCAGGGUUAGUCGGGACCUAAGCCGAGGCCGAAAGGCGUAGGUGAUGGACAACGGGUUGAUAUUCCCGUACCACUUGCAGACGUUAUUACAAACGGGGUGACGCAGGAGGAUAGGUUGUGCAUACUAUUGGAUGUAUGUCUAAGCAUUUAGGAGUAGCUAGUAGGAAAAUCCGCUAGCCGAAUCUGAGGUGUGAUGGGGAAGCCCUACGGGGUGAAGUAACUGAUUCCACGCUGCCAAGAAAAGCCUCUAUGGAGGAAGCAAGUGCCCGUACCGCAAACCGACACAGGUAGGUGAGGAGAGAAUCCUAAGACCAUCGGAAGAACUGCUGUUAAGGAACUCGGCAAAUUGACCCCGUAACUUCGGGAGAAGGGGUGCCUACGUAAGUAGGUCGCAGAGAAUAGGCCCAAGCAACUGUUUAGCAAAAACACAGGUCUCUGCUAAAGCGAAAGCUGAUGUAUAGGGGCUGACGCCUGCCCGGUGCUGGAAGGUUAAGGGGAAUGCUUAGCGCAAGCGAAGGUGUGAACUUAAGCCCCAGUAAACGGCGGCCGUAACUAUAACGGUCCUAAGGUAGCGAAAUUCCUUGUCGGGUAAGUUCCGACCCGCACGAAUGGCGUAAUGAUUUGGGCACUGUCUCAACAGCAAAUCCGGCGAAAUUGUAGUACCAGUGAAGAUGCUGGUUACCCGCGAUUGGACGGAAAGACCCCGUAGAGCUUUACUGUAGUUUAGCAUUGAGUUUCGGUAUUGUCUGUACAGGAUAGGUGGGAGACUGAGAAGCAUGGCCGUCAGGUUGUGUGGAGUCAACCUUGGGAUACCACCCUGACAGUACUGGAAUUCUAACUGGAGGCCAUGAAUCUGGUCACAGGACAUUGCUAGAUGGGCAGUUUGACUGGGGCGGUCGCCUCCUAAAAAGUAACGGAGGCGCCCAAAGGUUCCCUCAGAACGGUCGGAAAUCGUUCGAAGAGUGCAAAGGCAGAAGGGAGCCUGACUGCGAGACCUACAAGUCGAGCAGGGACGAAAGUCGGGCUUAGUGAUCCGGUGGUACCUCGUGGGAGGGCCAUCGCUCAACGGAUAAAAGCUACCUCGGGGAUAACAGGCUGAUCUCCCCCAAGAGUCCACAUCGACGGGGAGGUUUGGCACCUCGAUGUCGGCUCGUCGCAUCCUGGGGCUGAAGUAGGUCCCAAGGGUUGGGCUGUUCGCCCAUUAAAGCGGCACGCGAGCUGGGUUCAGAACGUCGUGAGACAGUUCGGUCCCUAUCCGUCGCGGGCGUAGGAAAUUUGAAGGGAGCUGUCCUUAGUACGAGAGGACCGGGAUGGACAGACCUCUGGUGCACCAGUUGUCACGCCAGUGGCACAGCUGGGUAGCUAUGUCUGGAAGGGAUAAACGCUGAAAGCAUCUAAGCGUGAAGCCCACCCUAAGAUGAGAUUUCCCAUAACGUAAGUUAGUAAGACUCCUGGAAGACUACCAGGUUGAUAGGUGAGGGGUGUAAGCAUGGUAACAUGUUCAGCUGACUCAUACUAAUAAGUCGAGGGCUUGAU